rnacentral:rRNA from 1 species
GACGAAGGGAGCGAGCGUUAUCCAUAAUGACUGGGCGUAUAGGGUUCGUAGGUGGUUUUGCCACGUUGGAUACGAAAGACCAGAUUGAAUCCUGGAAGGGUAUCUAAAACAGCAAAACUGGAGGAAAACAAAGGGAAGUGGAAUUUUGUAAGGAGGGAUGGUAUCUGAAGAUAUACAAAAGAAUAUCGAUUAGCACAGGCGACUUCCUAGUUUUUUGCUAACAUUGGGGAACUAAAGUGUGGGGAGCAAACAGG